GGCCUAACACAUGCAAGUCGAACGGCAGCACGGGAGCAAUCCUGGUGGCGAGUGGCGAACGGGUGAGUAAUACAUCGGAACGUGCCCAAUCGUGGGGGAUAACGUAGCGAAAGCUACGCUAAUACCGCAUACGAUCUACGGAUGAAAGCGGGGGAUCGCAAGACCUCGCGCGAAUGGAGCGGCCGAUGGCAGAUUAGGUAGUUGGUGGGGUAAAGGCUCACCAAGCCUGCGAUCUGUAGCUGGUCUGAGAGGACGACCAGCCACAUUGGGACUGAGACACGGCCCAAACUCCUACGGGAGGCAGCAGUGGGGAAUAUUGGACAAUGGGCGCAAGCCUGAUCCAGCCAUGCCGCGUGAGUGAUGAAGGCCCUAGGGUUGUAAAGCUCUUUUGUGCGGGAAGAUAAUGACGGUACCGCAAGAAUAAGCCCCGGCUAACUUCGUGCCAGCAGCCGCGGUAAUACGAAGGGGGCUAGCGUUGCUCGGAAUCACUGGGCGUAAAGGGUGCGUAGGCGGGUUUUUAAGUCAGAGGUGAAAUCCUGGAGCUCAACUCCAGAACUGCCUUUGAUACUGAAAGUCUUGAGUAUGGGAGAGGUGAGUGGAACUGCGAGUGUAGAGGUGAAAUUCGUAGAUAUUCGCAAGAACACCAGUGGCGAAGGCGGCUCACUGGCCCAUAACUGACGCUGAGGCACGAAAGCGUGGGGAGCAAACAGGAUU
rnacentral:rRNA from 1 species